AGUGAACGCUGGUGGUAGGCCUAACACAUGCAAGUCGAACGGCAGCACAGUAAGAGCUUGCUCUUACGGGUGGCGAGUGGCGGACGGGUGAGGAAUACAUCGGAAUCUACUUUUUCGCGGGGGAUAACGUAGGGAAACUUACGCUAAUACCGCAUACGACCUACGGGUGAAAGCAGGGGAUCUUCGGACCUUGCGCGAUUGAAUGAGCCGAUGUCGGAUUAGCUAGUUGGCGGGGUAAAGGCCCACCAAGGCGACGAUCCGUAGCUGGUCUGAGAGGAUGAUCAGCCACACUGGAACUGAGACACGGUCCAGACUCCUACGGGAGGCAGCAGUGGGGAAUAUUGGACAAUGGGCGCAAGCCUGAUCCAGCCAUACCGCGUGGGUGAAGAAGGCCUUCGGGUUGUAAAGCCCUUUUGUUGGGAAAGAAAAGCAGCAGGUUAAUACCCCGCUGUUCUGACGGUACCCAAAGAAUAAGCACCGGCUAACUUCGUG
rnacentral:rRNA from 1 species